GUGCUGUGUGGAAGGAGGGAAGGUCAGCAUUGCCUGUGACAAGGAUGGAGGGGGCCUUGGGCCCUGAAACACGUAGACAGUUACGGCAUUACCACCGGCUUUGUGGCCUCUGACCCCAGGUUUCU